ensembl:lncRNA
UCUACAUUGAUAGGGUGAAGUGUUCCUUUCACAAACUGGAGACAGGAAUCAAAGGGUUGCCAAUGCCAUGGCUCUGGAGACUGUGUGGAGAGUUGUCUGCAGUGGAGUGGAGUCUGUGUCUUUCAUCCAUUUUCCUCCUUCCCAUUGCAUUAAUAAUAUGUGUGACACGUUCUAAACGGGAAAAGACAUCCAGGUUGUCACUGGCUGAAAUAGGAGACAUUUCUGGGGAAAUGCCACUGGAUGAUUCAGUUGAGGUCACAACCUCAGGACCAGUGACAACCAUUAACAGACCAGCAUCCACAAAACAUGAGUCAAGAGAGUCCCAGAGAGUACAAAGUGGGUCUUUCCUGGGCCAGGUCACCCCAAGGUCAGUGAAAUUGGCUUUGAGGCAGCUGCCACCUGUUCCUGAGCUAAAUAAGAGCAAUGUCAGACAACACAGCAGCUACACUGAGUCUGUAGUGUAUGACAUUGUGGCCCUGGAUUUCUGUAAUUCCUUGCCCACUGUAGACAGCAAAGUCCUUCAAAAACAGACCAUCGAGGGCAGCAACCACACUGGAGAGGAAUAUGAAGAGGACGAAGUGGUAUUCCCUGUCUAUGCCGAGGUCAACAAAACCACAGUUCACUUGAACUCCUCCAGAUAUUCAUCACUUUAUGCCAAAGUGAACAAAAUAGGGUCCCGGAAUGUUGAAAUCUGAAUUGUUGCAGUGACUAACAGCAAAUGCCUUAAUGCUAAAUACAUUUUUUGUCAAAAGCUCAUUUGAGAUGAUUGCAUCAAUGCCAACCUUAUUUGGGUAAUCUUGAUGACAAGUGAAAUGCUUUAGAUUCAAUAAAAAGAGUAAAACAGGAAAUUCUGUGUAGCUCACUUACAUGGGGCUUGUAAUGCUGGGGUUGUAUAUUCGAUUUCCAUGGGUGGUCUGUAGGAAAAUGUAUGCCUUCCUGUACAUUCUGGAUUAAAGCAUCUAUUAAAUAACUUAAAUGUAAGUGCAUUAUUCACUCCAGAGUAAAAUGCAUGUGUACAUUUUUCCUAUGCUGUUUCUCAGACACAAUGUCACAAAGACUAAUUAUUCAUCUAUCCAUCCAUAAUGAG